rnacentral:rRNA from 1 species
AUACAUGCAGUCGACGCUUCUUUCCUCCCGAGUGCUUGCACUCAAUUGGAAAGAGGAGUGGCGGACGGGUGAGUAACACGUGGGUAACCUACCCAUCAGAGGGGGAUAACACUUGGAAACAGGUGCUAAUACCGCAUAACAGUUUAUGCCGCAUGGCAUAAGAGUGAAAGGCGCUUUCGGGUGUCGCUGAUGGAUGGACCCGCGGUGCAUUAGCUAGUUGGUGAGGUAACGGCUCACCAAGGCCACGAUGCAUAGCCGACCUGAGAGGGUGAUCGGCCACACUGGGACUGAGACACGGCCCAGACUCCUACGGGAGGCAGCAGUAGGGAAUCUUCGGCAAUGGACGAAAGUCUGACCGAGCAACGCCGCGUGAGUGAAGAAGGUUUUCGGAUCGUAAAACUCUGUUGUUAGAGAAGAACAAGGACGUUAGUAACUGAACGUCCCCUGACGGUAUCUAACCAGAAAGCCACGGCUAACUACGUGCCAGCAGCCGCGGUAAUACGUAGGUGGCAAGCGUUGUCCGGAUUUAUUGGGCGUAAAGCGAGCGCAGGCGGUUUCUUAAGUCUGAUGUGAAAGCCCCCGGCUCAACCGGGGAGGGUCAUUGGAAACUGGGAGACUUGAGUGCAGAAGAGGAGAGUGGAAUUCCAUGUGUAGCGGUGAAAUGCGUAGAUAUAUGGAGGAACACCAGUGGCGAAGGCGGCUCUCUGGUCUGUAACUGACGCUGAGGCUCGAAAGCGUGGGGAGCAAACAGGAUUAGAC